rnacentral:rRNA from 1 species
UCACACAGGAACAAAGUUUGAUCCUGGCUCAGAAUGAACGUUGGCGGCGUGGAUUAGGCAUGCAAGUCGAACGGGUCCAGCUUGCUGGACCAGUGGCGGAAGGGUGAGUAAGGCGACGGCAACCAACCCCGAGGUUGAGUAUAGCCGCGGGAAACUGCGGGUAAUCCUCAGCGACGUGACGACGCCGGCAUCGGCGUUUCACCAAAGGGUUCGG